rnacentral:tRNA from 1 species
GCCUGGUUAGCUCAGUGGUUGAGCAUCUGCCUUCAGCUCAGGUCAUGGUCCCGGGGUCCUGGGAUCGAGUCCUGCACUGGGCU